rnacentral:lncRNA from 10 species
AUAAACCUCAUGCACUAUAUAUAUAUAUGUAUAUAUAUAUACAUAUAUACACACACACACACACACACACACACACACAUAUAUACAAACAAAAGCAGAUUUGGUAGUUUUAAGAUUUUUCAUGUGUCAGUUUUUAAGUUUCUCUUUCUCAUUUUCGAUUAUCAGUCUUUUAAUUACCUGUUCUCUGUCCUGAUUGUCAGCUAGGGAGCUCUAAAUUUUUAUUACUAAAAGGCCAACUCUUAGGUGAAACAAGAUAGAGAAUUCAUAUUUUACCCAAACCAAGCAAAAAUAGUGUGAAUAACAUUUCAGUUAAGAUGGCCAGAAAAAGCAGACACUCUUACACAGGUAGAUUGUCUUAAAGAUGUAAGUUAAUUAAAUUACUGGCAUUAAAUUACUGGUGGAGAAUUUUAAGGAAAAAAACUAGGAAAGCAUGCAGUUUCUAGGGCCUAAUAAGCAGGUAUAGCUGAAAGGCGAAACAUAUCAUCCCAGAACUUUUGUAGCUGGGCAUGGUGGCAGGCACCUGUAGUCCCAGCUACUCGGGAGGCUGAGGCAUGAGAAUGGCGUGAACCCAGGAGGUGAAGCUUGCAGGGAGCCAAGAUCAUGACACUGCACUCCAGCCUGGGUGACAGAGCGAGAUUCCAUCUCAAAAAAUAAUAAUAAAAAAUAAAAAAUAAAAAUAAAAAUAAAAAUAAAAAUAAAAUCAUCUGGAAAUCAUGUUGGAUCCAUAUUCUAUUUCAAUGACCACGGAAACCAGUAUUCUGUAUUUUAGCAAACUUUCAAGUGGUAAAUGGUACCAGUGCUGCUGGUCUGAAGCCACACUCUGAGUAACAAAGUACAAAAGACUCGUUGUGAACAAUCUUAAGUUCUUUCAAAAAGCUGUGAAAUCUCAUGAAAUGGAAUCUAGAAGGUAAAUUUCAGAUGUUACUGUAAGUUACCUUUGGAGAUGAGUCAAUGGAAAAAUUGAUGUUGAGCAAUUUAACAGCCGAAGGAUCUUGGACCAUAAAGGGUUGUGAGUAACCUUUCAGAUCUGAUGUAAUCAAUGAGAGAUUAUGCUAAUGAGAUAUUGAAAAAAAUUGACUGGGUUUUUGUUACAGAAUAAUCACCACUGAAAAAUAAUC